rnacentral:rRNA from 1 species
AGCCAUGCGAGUCGAGAGGGGUANCCCUCGGCGCACUGCUCAGUAACACGCGGACAAUCUGCCCUCGAGACGGGGAUAACCCCGGGAAACUGGGAAUAAUACCCGAUAGAUCUGAGAUGAUGGAAGGCUCCCAGGUCCAAAUCCUGCGGGGCUCGAGGAUGGGUCUGCGGCCUAUCAGGUAGUAGGGGGUUUCACGGACCCCCUAGCCGAAGACGGGUACGGGCUUUGGGAGAAGUCGCCCGGAGAUGGAUUCUGAGACACGAAUCCAGGUCCUACGGGACGCAGCAGGCGCGAAACCUCCACAAUGUGGGCAACCACGAUGGGGGAACUCCAAGUGCCUACACUAUGUGUAGGCUGUUCUCGAGCCUAAAAAGCUCGAUAAGUAAGGGCCGGGGUAAGACGGGUGCCAGCCGCCGGCGGUAA